UGGGGAAUAUUGGACAAUGGGCGAAAGCCUGAUCCAGCCAUGCCGCGUGUGUGAAGAAGGUCUUCGGAUUGUAAAGCACUUUAAGUUGGGAGGAAGGGCAGUAAGCGAAUACCUUGCUGUUUUGACGUUACCGACAGAAUAAGCACCGGCUAACUCUGUGCCAGCAGCCGCGGUAAUACAGAGGGUGCAAGCGUUAAUCGGAAUUACUGGGCGUAAAGCGCGCGUAGGUGGUUCGUUAAGUUGAAUGUGAAAGCCCCGGGCUCAACCUGGGAACUGCAUCCAAAACUGGCGAGCUAGAGUAGGGCAGAGGGUGGUGGAAUUUCCUGUGUUGCGGUGAAAUGCUUAGAUAUAGGAAGGAACACCAGUGGCGAAGGCGACCACCUGGGCUCAUACUGACACUGAGGUGCGAAAGCGUGGGGAGCAAACAGG
rnacentral:rRNA from 1 species